rnacentral:rRNA from 1 species
AGCGAACGCUGGCGGCAGGCUUAACACAUGCAAGUCGAGCGGGCGUAGCAAUACGUCAGCGGCAGACGGGUGAGUGACGCGUGGGAACAUACCUUUUGGUUCGGAACAACACAGGGAAACUUGUGCUAAUACCGGAUAAGCCCUUACGGGGAAAGAUUUAUCGCCGAAAGAUUGGCCCGCGUCUGAUUAGCUAGUUGGUGAGGUAACGGCUCACCAAGGCGACGAUCAGUAGCUGGUCUGAGAGGAUGAUCAGCCACAUUGGGACUGAGACACGGCCCAAACUCCUACGGGAGGCAGCAGUGGGGAAUA